CCUGGUGUUUAUAGCAGAGAGGUCACACCUGAUCCCAUUCCGAACUCAGCAGUUAAGCUCUCUUGCGGCGAUGGUAUUGCACGCGUGAGCGUGUGAGAGAGUAGCACGAUGCCAGGU
rfam:Bdellovibrio exovorus JSS, complete genome.